GCCCUGGUGGUGGAAUGGUAGACACCGGAGACUUAAAAUCUCCUGCUCGUAAGAGCGUGCCGGUUCGAGUCCGGCCCAGGGCACCA
rnacentral:tRNA from 2 species